GUGGGGAAUCUUGCGCAAUGGGCGAAAGCCUGACGCAGCCAUGCCGCGUGAAUGAUGAAGGUCUUAGGAUUGUAAAAUUCUUUCACCGGGGACGAUAAUGACGGUACCCGGAGAAGAAGCCCCGGCUAACUUCGUGCCAGCAGCCGCGGUAAUACGAAGGGGGCUAGCGUUGCUCGGAAUUACUGGGCGUAAAGGGCGCGUAGGCGGACAGUUUAGUCAGAGGUGAAAGCCCAGGGCUCAACCUUGGAAUUGCCUUUGAUACUGGCUGUCUUGAGUACGGGAGAGGUGAGUGGAACUCCGAGUGUAGAGGUGAAAUUCGUAGAUAUUCGGAAGAACACCAGUGGCGAAGGCGACUGACUGGACAAGUAUUGACGCUGAGGUGCGAAAGCGUGGGGAGCAAACAGGAUUAGAAACCCCAGUAGUCC
rnacentral:rRNA from 1 species